CCUACGGGAGUGCAGCAGUGGGGAAUAUUGGGCAAUGUGCGCAAGCCGGACCCAGCAACGCCGCGUGAAGGAAGAAGUCUUUCGGGUUGUAAACUUCUUUUGUCAGGGAAGAGUCGAAGACGGUCCCUGACGAAUAAGCCACGGCUAACUACGUGCCAGCAGCCGCGGUAAUACGUAGGUGGCAAGCGUUGUCCGGAUUUACUGGGUGUAAAGGGCGUGUAGCCGGGUUGACAAGUCAGAUGUGAAAUCCUGCGGCUUAACCGCAGAACUGCAUUUGAAACUGUUGAUCUUGAGUACUGGAGAGGCAGAUGGAAUUCCUAGUGUAGCGGUGAAAUGCGUAGAUAUUAGGAGGAACACCAGUGGCGAAGGCGGUCUGCUGGACAGCAACUGACGGUGAGGCGCGAAAGCGUGGGGAGCAAACAGGAUUAGAUACCCGUGUAGUC
rnacentral:rRNA from 1 species